UUAACAUUAUAGAUAUGAAUCUUUUACUUGAUGACUUUAAAAUAAACCUUUCCUAUUUUGCUGCUUGUUCCUUCAUAUUGGUAUUACUGGAUUGCACUAUAUAGAAGCUUCAUAAUUGUACCAUAUUUUCCUUAAAUGUUUUCUGCUGUGU